rnacentral:rRNA from 1 species
GACGAACGCUGGCGGCGUGCUUAACACAUGCAAGUCGAACGGAAAGGCCCUGCUUUUGUGGGGUGCUCGAGUGGCGAACGGGUGAGUAACACGUGAGUAACCUGCCCUUGACUUUGGGAUAACUUCAGGAAACUGGGGCUAAUACCGGAUAGGAUCUCCUGCUGCAUGGUGGGGGUUGGAUAGUUUCGGCGGUUGGGGAUGGACUCGCGGCUUAUCAGCUUGUUGGUUGGGUAGUGGCUUACCAAGGCUUUGACGGGUAGCCUGCCUGAGAGGGUGACCGGACACACUAGGCUUGAGAUACGACACAGACUCGUAUGGGAGGCAGCGGUGGAGAGUAUAACACAGUGGGAGGGAGCAUGAUGCGACACCGCCGCGUGCGGGAAGACGUCCUGGGGGUAGUGUACCGCAGUCGCCUGUGACGAAGCGUUAGUGACGGUAAUGGGUGAAUAAGCACCGGCUAACUACGUG